UGGAAAUUUCUUUCAUUCUGCCUUUUUGUGGGUUCCGUUCUAGAAUUUGUUUAGAGCCAUUUUCUACUGGUAUUUGGAGGGGUCUGAGGGAGAGCUCAAGCAAGUCAUUGCAUUUACUCCGCCAUCUUGGCUCUGCCACAUCAGCAAGUCCCCAAAAACUUUUAAGAAUGCUAAUAACAAUGUUAUUUUUAUGCACACUGGGUACAACUGAGGUCAUUAAUAUAAUUUAAAAUAUUUGUUUUUCCUUGCCAUAUACUUUAAUGGAGUCUUAUGUUCUUCUUGUCUAAAUACCAUUUCCCUUGAAAGAAGUCAUCAGCAGCAAUUUUCCUUUCUGAAAGCUUCAGGGACUUCUGCUCCAAAAGCUUUUCUUCACUUUGGUAUGAGGCACACACAGCUGCUGCUUCUUCUUCUUUUGGCUAGGAAAUGUGGUUAAGUGACUUGCCUAAGUGUCAAGUGUCUGAGACUGGAUUUGAACUCAGGUCCUCCUAAUUCCAGGGCCUGUACUCUAUCCACUGUGCCACCUGGCCAUCCCACACACAGCCUCUUGAUGAAGUUGAUGCUGCUGCUCCACCUGCAGAGUUAGCAACUGGAUCUCUUGCUGAAGGACAUCAGUUUUCUGCAGACAUGACAGGAAGAAUCUUCUGGAUGAUACGGCUGGUUCUGCAUGGAGACAAUAUGUAUGUCAAUGAGAAGGAGGCCACAAGGUCCAUGUAGAGUCCACAGCAAUGUCCUCAGAAAGGUUCCACUACAAUCUCUUUCUCACUAUUUAGCAAGUUUUCCUUGGAGCUGCCCCAGUGGAACUGUGCUACCUGGCCUGCUUGGAGCCAAGAAGUAUUCUCCCUCGGAGUUGGCCAGUGCCCUGGAACGCCCCCAACCCUCAUUGCCACACACCACUUUGUCCUACCCUCUCCAAAUCAUCUCCUCUCCAACCUUCAAUCAAAGUCUUGCUCAAGCCCAUAGGUUCUAACACAUCCCUGCUAUACUCUAGAACAAUGCUAUAUUAUCCUAAUGACUAUUAAUGUAAUACUGUUCUUAGCCUAAGGAAUUUGCAAGAUGAAUCCAGCAGAGAUGAUUCUAGCACUAUAUAGUGAAUGAAGGGUAAGAGUGGGUGAUUCAUUGAGACAUUUGGGGUCUUCUGGUGCCUGUCCCUCAACUACUGAUGACUUAAUGAUACCAUUCUACUCUUUCAUCUUUUGCUGUGCACAAAAUUCCUUUAAAGGUAUUAACAUCUUGUCUGUCUUGAUCCUCAUCAUAGUACUGUGAGGUAGAGAGGGAAGAUAUUAGUACUUCCUCUUUUUCGGCUGAGAAAACUGAGUCUCAUAAGUUGUAACACUUGCUCAGAUGUAUAUGCCACACAGGGACCUUCCUACUCUGACUCUGCUUAUGUCCGCCCCUCUAUAUAGUGAUGUAAUUUUUGAGGACACUGUUUUUCAUUUUUCUAUGUUCCAAUUUUGUCAAUUUUUGUGCUCCAAGGGAAAACUUUCCUUAGAGUUUCACAGAUUUGCUUCUGGGGAAAAAAAUUCUAAACAAAUAUCGAAUAUCAUGUCCACUAAAAUAUGUUGAAUAAAUCAGAAAAGUCUCAAUAUCA
ensembl:lncRNA